GCAUACUACACUGAAUAUACCUGAUCUUAGAAGUUAAGCAGGAUAAGGCCUAGUUAGGACUUGGGUGAAAAAUAACC
rnacentral:rRNA from 1 species